rnacentral:lncRNA from 1 species
UACCAUCCUAGAACAAGAUAGGGAUAUGUUUGAAAAGGAUAUGGGCAUCCAUGCAAGAGAAGGUGGUACUCUUACGAAAGGUCAAGAUCAUAUAUAAGAAUUUGAUCAUAUAUGAGAGAGACCAUGGAAUAUAAGCCAAGCAUAAGCUUCAAAGGGAUGUGGUCAUCCAUGAAAGAGAAGGUGGAGAUCCUACAGAAGUUUAUAAUACAUAUGAUCAGGAAGCAUACAUUAAUGGAAGAAGUUUGGUAGAUGAUUUGUGUGAUAGUUGCCGGAAUCUCACCUGGAGUUUACUCUAACCACAAGUUUGGAAAAAAUAGGAGAAAAUGAUGAACCUUCACUUGAUAUUGGUCUCUAUCUGGUCAUCCGAAUUUGCAUGAAAAUCGG